GACGAACGCUGGCGGCGUGCUUAACACAUGCAAGUCGAACGGAAAGGCCUCUUUCGGGGGGUACUCGAGUGGCGAACGGGUGAGUAACACGUGAGUAACCUGCCCUUGACUUUGGGAUAACUUCAGGAAACUGGGGCUAAUACCGGAUAGGAGCUCCUGCUGCAGGGUGGGGGUUGGAAAGUUUCGGCGGUUGGGGAUGGACUCGCGGCUUAUCAGCUUGUUGGUGGGGUAGUGGCUUACCAAGGCUUUGACGGGUAGCCGGACUGAGAGGGUGACCGGCCACAUUGGGACUGAGAUACGGCCCAGACUCCUACGGGAGGAAGCAGUGGGGAAUAUUGCACAAUGGGUGGAAGCCUGAUGCAGCAACGCCGUGUGCGGGAUGACGGCCUUCGGGUUGUAAACCGCUUUCGCUCAUGACGAAGCUUUGUGUGACGGUAGUGGGUAAAGAAGCACCGGCUAACUACGUG
rnacentral:rRNA from 1 species